GACGAACGCUGGCGGCGUGCUUAACACAUGCAAGUCGAACGAAGUGGCGAACGGGUGAGUAACGCGUAAUCAACCUGCCCUUCAGAGGGGGACAACAGUUGGAAACGACUGCUAAUACAGCAUACUGAAGGAGGGGAUUGCGUCUGAUUAGCUAGUUGGAGGGGUAACGGCCCACCAAGGAGAAUAUCAGUAGCCGGUCUGAGCGGGUGAACGGACAAAUGUGGAAUGUGACACGGCCCAGGAUCCUUCGGGAGGCAGCAGUGGGGAAUCUUCCGACAUGGAGGAAAGUCUGACGGAGCAACGCCGCGGGAGUGAUGACGGCCUUCGGGUUGUAAAGCUCUGUUAAUCGGGACGCGGUACCGGAAUAGAAAGCCACGGCUAACUACGUGCCAGCAGCCGCGGUAAUAC
rnacentral:rRNA from 1 species